GGCAGUAAAAGUCAUAACAAGGUUUCCGUAGGUGAACCUGCGGAAGGAUCAUUAUUGUAUAACCGAGGUGCGAGGGCUGUCGCUGACCCGAAAGGUCGUGCACGCCCGAGUGCCCUCACACACAUCCAUCUCACCCCUAUGUGCACCACCGCGUGGGUCCCCCUUUGGCUUGUUCGGAGGGGGGCUUACGUUUUCACACAAACUUUGUAUGCAGUGUAGAGUGUAUUUUUUGUUUUUGCGAUCACGCAAUCAAUACAACUUUCAACAACGGAUCUCUUGGCUCUC
rnacentral:misc_RNA from 1 species